GGAAUCUUGCGCAAUGGGCGAAAGCCUGACGCAGCGACGCCGCGUGCGGGAAGAAGGCCUUCGGGUUGUAAACCGCUUUCAGGAGGGAAGAAGCGUAAGUGACGGUACCUCCAGAAGAAGCCCCGGCCAACUACGUGCCAGCAGCCGCGGUAAUACGUAGGGGGCGAGCGUUGUCCGGAAUUAUUGGGCGUAAAGCGCGCGCAGGCGGGACUUGCAAGUCGGGAGUGAAAGGCCGGGGCUCAACCCCGGAGCUGCUUUCGAGACUGCGGACCUGGAGACCAGUAGGGGUUGGUGGAAUUCCCGGUGUAGCGGUGGAAUGCGUAGAGAUCGGGAAGAACACCGGUGGCGAAGGCGGCCAACUGGGCUGGAUCUGACGCUGAGGCGCGAAAGCGUGGGGAGCAAA
rnacentral:rRNA from 1 species